GUUGUAUAGUCAAGUAAUUAAGUGCAUGUGGUGGAUGCCUUGGCAGUCAGAGGCGAUGAAAGACGUGAUAGCCUGCGAAAAGCUCCGGG
rnacentral:rRNA from 1 species